rnacentral:rRNA from 1 species
GGGAAAAGCUCAAAUUUAAAAUCUGGCAGUCUUUGGCUGUCCGAGUUGUAAUCUAGAGAAGUAUUAUCCGCGCUGGACCGUGUACAAGUCUCCUGGAAUGGAGCGUCAUAGAGGGUGAGAAUCCCGUCUUUGACACGGACUGCCAGGGCUUUGUGAUAUGCUCUCAAAGAGUCGAGUUGUUUGGGAAUGCAGCUCAAAAUGGGUGGUAAAUUCCAUCUAAAGCUAAAUAUUGGCGAGAGACCGAUAGCGAACAAGUACCGUGAGGGAAAGAUGAAAAGAACUUUGGAAAGAGAGUUAAACAGUACGUGAAAUUGCUGAAAGGGAAACGCUUGAAGUCAGUCGCGUUGGCCAGGGAUCAACCUUGCUUUUGCUUGGCUUACUUUCUGGUCGAUGGGUCAGCAUCAAUUUUGACUGGUGGAAAAAGUUCAAGGGAAUGUGGCAUCUUCGGAUGUGUUAUAGCCUUUGUUCACAUACAUUGGUUGGGAUUGAGGAACUCAGCACGCCGCAAGGCCGGGUUUUUAACCACGUACGUGCUUAGGAUGCUGGCAUAAUGGCUUUAAUCGACCCGUCUUGAAACACGGACCAAGGAGUCUAACAUGCCUGCGAGUAUUUGGGUGAAAAACCCGAGUGCGUAAUGAAAGUGAAAGUUGAGAUCCCUGUCGUGGGGAGCAUUGACGCCCGGAUCUGACCUUUUGUGACGAU